rnacentral:rRNA from 2 species
GAGACGCUGGCGGCGUGCCUAAUACAUGCAAGUCGAACGAACUCUGGUAUUGAUUGGUGCUUGCAUCAUGAUUUACAUUUGAGUGAGUGGCGAACUGGUGAGUAACACGUGGGAAACCUGCCCAGAAGCGGGGGAUAACACCUGGAAACAGAUGCUAAUACCGCAUAACAACUUGGACCGCAUGGUCCGAGUUUGAAAGAUGGCUUCGGCUAUCACUUUUGGAUGGUCCCGCGGCGUAUUAGCUAGAUGGUGGGGUAACGGCUCACCAUGGCAAUGAUACGUAGCCGACCUGAGAGGGUAAUCGGCCACAUUGGGACUGAGACACGGCCCAAACUCCUACGGGAGGCAGCAGUAGGGAAUCUUCCACAAUGGACGAAAGUCUGAUGGAGCAACGCCGCGUGAGUGAAGAAGGGUUUCGGCUCGUAAAACUCUGUUGUUAAAGAAGAACAUAUCUGAGAGUAACUGUUCAGGUAUUGACGGUAUUUUAACCCAGAAAGCCACGGCUAACUACGUGCCAGCAGCCGCCGGUAAUACGUAGGUGGCAAGCGUUGUCCGGAUUUAUUGGGCGUAAAGCGAGCGCAGGCGGUUUUUUAAGUCUGAUGUGAAAGCCUUCGGCUCAACCGAAGAAGUGCAUCGGAAACUGGGAAACUUGAGUGCAGAAGAGGACAGUGGAACUCCAUGUGUAGCGGUGAAAUGCGUAGAUAUAUGGAAGAACACCAGUGGCGAAGGCGGCUGUCUGGUCUGUAACUGACGCUGAGGCUCGAAAGUAUGGGUAGCAAACAGGAUUAGAUACCCUGGUAGUCCAUACCGUAAACGAUGAAUGCUAAGUGUUGGAGGGUUUCCGCCCUUCAGUGCUGCAGCUAACGCAUUAAGCAUUCCGCCUGGGGAGUACGGCCGCAAGGCUGAAACUCAAAGGAAUUGACGGGGGCCCGCACAAGCGGUGGAGCAUGUGGUUUAAUUCGAAGCUACGCGAAGAACCUUACCAGGUCUUGACAUACUAUGCAAAUCUAAGAGAUUAGACGUUCCCUUCGGGGACAUGGAUACAGGUGGUGCAUGGUUGUCGUCAGCUCGUGUCGUGAGAUGUUGGGUUAAGUCCCGCAACGAGCGCAACCCUUAUUAUCAGUUGCCAGCAUUAAGUUGGGCACUCUGGUGAGACUGCCGGUGACAAACCGGAGGAAGGUGGGGAUGACGUCAAAUCAUCAUGCCCCUUAUGACCUGGGCUACACACGUGCUACAAUGGAUGGUACAACGAGUUGCGAACUCGCGAGAGUAAGCUAAUCUCUUAAAGCCAUUCUCAGUUCGGAUUGUAGGCUGCAACUCGCCUACAUGAAGUCGGAAUCGCUAGUAAUCGCGGAUCAGCAUGCCGCGGUGAAUACGUUCCCGGGCCUUGUACACACCGCCCGUCACACCAUGAGAGUUUGUAACACCCAAAGUCGGUGGGGUAACCUUUUAGGAACCAGCCGCCUAAGGUGGGACAGAUGAUUAGGGGAAGUCUU